rnacentral:rRNA from 1 species
UACGUAGGUGGCAAGCGUUUGUCCGGAAUUAUUGGGCGUAAAGCGCACGUAGGCGGCUCUUUAAGUCGGGGGUGAAAUCCUGGAGCUCAACUCCAGAACUGCCUUCGAUACUGAAGAGCUCGAGUCCGGGAGAGGUGAGUGGAACUGCGAGUGUAGAGGUGAAAUUCGUAGAUAUUCGCAAGAACACCAGUGGCGAAGGCGGCUCACUGGCCCGGUACUGACGCUGAGGUGCGAAAGCGUGGGGAGCAACAGG